rnacentral:piRNA from 1 species
UCAGAAGAAAUACUACUACUCCAGAACCGA